rnacentral:lncRNA from 1 species
AUUAUUAUAUGAAUGUGUUUUGUGUGUCUUGUGCUAGUCGCCUCUGUUAGGAAUGGAAUCUGUAUAACCAUAACCUUCAACCCUUCUUCAACACUGAACCCAAAUGGGCAUUGUCUCAAAACCCUCCCUGUUUCUGCUUCUCAUCGCAGUUUUGAUGACUUCUUCAAGCUCCACUGUUGCAGAAGCACGGCCAGUUUUCCUCAUGCCUAAACAAGGUAAGAAUUAACCAAGCUGAUCUCUCCAUGAAUUUUCCAUCUGAAUCUUGAAUGGUUUUCUCAUAUAUGUGUCUGAUUCUGUAGGUGGUGGGUCAGGGAUUGCCACCAUGCUCGGAGUUAUUUGCAAGUGUUGUGAUGGUGUUGGAGGAGAGUGUUCCGGCACCUGGGCUGGAUCAUGCUCUAAUCUACAAUGUCAACCAUGGAAAAAUACAGUAGUUUAAUUAGAAUGCUAUGUAUUAUACGUUAUUACUGGUAUAAAUAUACAUAUAUAUAUAUAUGUGCUUUCUUUUUCCCAUGUAAAGAUGCGUUUGUACUAAAGAUCAUAUGCUUCUAUCAAUUGGGUAUGCGCUCAAUUUUGAAUAUAUCGGAGUAAAGCCCAUCAUCAUACUUAGCUGAUAAGAUUGUUGUGGGGAGAUAAAUCUGAACUUACUUUUGGAAAGAACUGGAGAACAGUUUCUAGGGAAAUCCGUUUGGACUUUUUCUGGGCAGAUGUGAAUUGAAUAGUGAAUUAGUUAGUUGACUGAAAAUUGGAGAUGGUGAUUUUUGAGGCUGAGACUGAGAGCUUGUAGUAGCGAUUGACCGGAGCCUGAUAAAAACCACUUGUUUAAAACUUUAACGUCUCUCACUUAUUGAAUUCAUCAGCUUUCUAGAAUUAAAUAGAUC